rnacentral:tRNA from 1 species
UCGGAUAUGGUGUAGUGGCUAACAUUAUCGCCUCUCAAGUGUUUCGCGAUAGCCCGGGGUUCGAUUCCCCGUAUCCGAA